CUACGGGAGGCAGCAGUGGGGAAUAUUGCACAAUGGGCGGAAGCCUGAUGCAGCAACGCCGCGUGCGGGAUGACGGCCUUCGGGUUGUAAACCGCUUUCGCCUGUGACGAAGCGUGAGUGACGGUAAUGGGUAAAGAAGCACCGGCUAACUACGUGCCAGCAGCCGCGGUGAUACGUAGGGUGCGAGCGUUGUCCGGAUUUAUUGGGCGUAAAGGGCUCGUAGGUGGUUGAUCGCGUCGGAAGUGUAAUCUUGGGGCUUAACCCUGAGCGUGCUUUCGAUACGGGUUGACUUGAGGAAGGUAGGGGAGAAUGGAAUUCCUGGUGGAGCGGUGGAAUGCGCAGAUAUCAGGAGGAACACCAGUGGCGAAGGCGGUUCUCUGGGCCUUUCCUGACGCUGAGGAGCGAAAGCGUGGGGAGCGAACAGGCUUAGAUACCCUGGUAGUCCACGCUGUAAACGGUGGGUACUAGGUGUGGGGUCCAUUCCACGGGUUCCGUGCCGUAGCUAACGCUUUAAGUACCCCGCCUGGGGAGUACGGCCGCAAGGCUAAAACUCAAAGGAAUUGACGGGGCCCCGCACAAGCGGCGGAGCAUGCGGAUUAAUUCGAUGCAACGCGUAGAACCUUACCUGGGUUUGACAUGGAUCGGGAGCGCUCAGAGAUGGGUGUGCCUCUUUUGGGGUCGGUUCACAGGUGGUGCAUGGCUGUCGUCAGCUCGUGUCGUGAGAUGUUGGGUUAAGUCCCGCAACGAGCGCAACCCUUGUUCACUGUUGCCAGCACGUUAUGGUGGGGACUCAGUGGAGACCGCCGGGGUCAACUCGGAGGAAGGUGGGGAUGACGUCAAGUCAUCAUGCCCCUUAUGUCCAGGGCUUCACGCAUGCUACAAUGGCUGGUACAGAGAGUGGCGAGCCUGUGAGGGUGAGCGAAUCUCGGAAAGCCGGUCUCAGUUCGGAUUGGGGUCUGCAACUCGACCUCAUGAAGUCGGAGUCGCUAGUAAUCGCAGAUCAGCAACGCUGCGGUGAAUACGUUCCCGGGCCUUGUACACACCGCCAUCCAUAU
rnacentral:rRNA from 1 species